rnacentral:rRNA from 2 species
GCGUGGAGCCGACCUUGAAAUACCACCCUUUAAUGUUUGAUGUUCUAACGUGGAUCCGUAAUCCGGGUUGCGGACAGUGUCUGGUGGGUAGUUUGACUGGGGCGGUCUCCUCCUAAAGAGUAACGGAGGAGCACGAAGGUUGGCUAAUCCUGGUCGGACAUCAGGAGGUUAGUGCAAUGGCAUAAGCCAGCUUGACUGCGAGCGUGACGGCGCGAGCAGGUGCGAAAGCAGGUCAUAGUGAUCCGGUGGUUCUGAAUGGAAGGGCCAUCGCUCAACGGAUAAAAGGUACUCCGGGGAUAACAGGCUGAUACCGCCCAAGAGUUCAUAUCGACGGCGGUGUUUGGCACCUCGAUGUCGGCUCAUCACAUCCUGGGGCUGAAGUAGGUCCCAAGGGUAUGGCUGUUCGCCAUUUAAAGUGGUACGCGAGCUGGGUUUAGAACGUCGUGAGACAGUUCGGUCCCUAUCUGCCGUGGGCGCUGGAGAACUGAGGGGGGCUGCUCCUAGUACGAGAGGACCGGAGUGGACGCAUCACUGGUGUUCGGGUUGUCAUGCCAAUGGCACUGCCCGGUAGCUAAAUGCGGAAGAGAUAAGUGCUGAAAGCAUCUAAGCACGAAACUUGCCCCGA